rnacentral:rRNA from 1 species
UACGUAGGGGGCUAGCGUUGUCCGGAUUUAUUGGGCGUAAAGAGCGUGUAGGCGGCCAGAUAGGUCCGUUGUGAAAACCCGAGGCUUAACCUCGGGACGUCGAUGGAAACCAUCUGGCUAGAGUCCGGAAGAGGAGAGUGGAAUUCCUGGUGUAGCGGUGAAAUGCGCAGAUAUCAGGAAGAACACCCGUGGCGAAGGCGGCUCUCUGGGACGGUACUGACGCUGAGACGCGAAAGCGUGGGGAGCGAACAGG